ensembl:lncRNA
CAAAGGGUUAUUUAAUGCGGUAAAUCCGAAGGCUCCUCAGAAGUCAAGAGCUCCCGGGGGAGGCCCCACACUCUGCAGCCUUCCUUUUCAGAAUCACUGGCCCCCCUCCAUCCCAGGUCAGACUUAUUUCCCGUCCUUUGCCACCGGGCAAAUAUUGACUUUCUUUCACCCGCAGCGUUGCCAAUGGAGCUGAGAGCAGCGGGCGGGCUAUUGUCUCCUUCCUCCGCGAGGGCAGGGCCAACUGGGCCAGGCCGGGCAAGAAAGCCAGGGAGGGGAUUGCGCUCCCAGCAGGAACCCCUGAGUCUUUCUAUCUUUGAUUGUGUCUUUCUGGCCGCUCUCCCUUCCCAAGCCCAUUUGGGUUUAUUUCUCCACGUUUUGGCUCUCCUGCUGCCAGGUGGCAUGUCCGACCCGAGAGAAGCAGCAGGCGCAGCUGGCAGACCUGGAAGAGCUGAGCCUGGGAGGCAGGUCCCUAACAGGGGGCAACCUGAUGGGCAUCCUUGCCCGGCCCGGGUCCUCAGUGUUCUGACCCGUGCCGUGGGAGGGCCAGCCUCCACAGUCCAUCUCGGUGUCUAGGCCAGGGAGCUCCCUCCUCCCCAUGACCCACGGCCUGUGGCUGCAAUCCAGGCGUUUUCCCUCGUGCUCUGCCUUGAGACGAGAUGGAAAGCAACUGCUCAGGGCUUCACGGGGAGAGUGGGAAGAGCCAGGGCGAGGCCCACAGGUGCAGGCACAGCCGCUCCUCAUGCUGACAGGCCCUGCGAGACUCCCCCUCUCCAAGCCUCAGUUUCCCCACAAUCAAAAUCAGAGACUGGAUGAGAUGAAGGCAAAGGUCCCUGUCAGCGCCCCUGCCGUGGUUUCCCUCGCCUGCACACCUCUGCGGGCGGGACCGAGACCUCAGCACAGCCCUGUCCUCACGGCUGACCUUGACCUCAAGCCUCCCAGCUUGUCCUCCUCAUAACGGGGCCUCCUCUCGGCCUCCGUGCUUCUCUGUGACAGACGAGGACCGUACACGCAGACUCCUGCAGCCUGGAGUCAGGGCACAAGGCACAGUGGUGACAGCUGCAGGACCGUGGACUCUGUCCCCGCCCUUCCUCUCACCGGAGCCCCCUCUGUGACGUCACAGAGCCUUACAAAGCCCAUUCCUUUUGCAGCACCCAAUUCAAACCAAGAACUCCUCACAUUCCAGGAGUUUUAUGUAAACCGUCCCCACAUAAUCUUCACAAGAACCCAAGAGGACUCUUCCCACAACACCCGAAGCCUGGUGAGAAGCUAUUGUUGCAUCUCAACUGAAGACACAGCCAGAGCCACCCGGAGAAGGAGUGAGACCAGACUUGCCUGUGGCAAGCGCGGUGAGGGGCCAGAGGCGUCAGGCCUGGGAGAGACUUCGGAUUCGUGAGUUCCAAACCCCUACUUUCCAGAUGAAGAUACUGGGGCCCAAAGGGGAGAAGGCAAGGCCUCGACUCUCCCUGAGCACUGAGCGGCCUGGCGUUUGCCACACGCAGGAGGCAGGAGGGGCACGCAGGACUGUGAGCCUGGGUGUGGCUGGCUCCUGUGUCUGGGUGUCCCCCUCGAGCCUCAUCCUUAAUCCACAACACCUGCCCCCCCUCCCCCCCCCCCCCCCCCCCCGCAAGACCUCAGGACCCCAGCUCAGCUGGUGGAUUUUCUGCCGGUGUCAGACCACCAGCCAUCCCUGCCCUCACCCGGUCUGCCUCCCCUUCAGCCUCAGCAGCAGCUCCCGCCUGUUCCGCACACUCAGAAUCAUGAAUCCAGUUUGGGGUUCAACCCAGGAUGUGACACUCCCCCCCCAAAAAAAUCCCAUAUGUGUGUGUGAUGGGAAGGCCCCUCUAGGGCCUUCCAGGGCUUCUCAUCCCACCAAGUCUGAGGAGCCCCAGGAAGCCCCAAAACCUGCAGCAAGUGCCCCGUGUCUCCCCUCCUCCCCGCGUCCCGGCCCGCGACAGCCACAUCACUCCAGCGGCCUCUGCAGUGCUGCAGCGCGCGCUCCUCCUCGCCGGCCGGAGCCUCUCUUUAGAACGCGGCAGCUCCAGUCACGGACCCUGGUCUGCAGGAAAGCUGACUCAGGGAUUUCUAGGCUGCAAGCCGAGUGCGGGAGUGUGCGCCACCGUGUAGCGGGGAGGGUGUCGGGAAGGGGCGGUUUGUGCGUGUUUGCAUGUGGGCUAGACUCUCCCGUGAGCUCUGCGGACCCCUCACCGUUCUUAGAUGGAAAGGGGGCCUGAGGGUGAAGGGCUCAAGGUCAGAUGCUCAGCGGGAGGGCACGGGCUCUUCCCCCAACCCCUGCACACCCCACCCCCUGCGCUGGCCUCCCACACUGAGGGGGCCUGUCAUCUGGCUGCUGCUCUGCGCUUUCUGCCUGGGGGAAGAAACACUUCGAAAUCCCCCCAAAGCUUCUUUUGCCAGGAGGAGGGGGAAAGGGGCUGAAAGUCCAGCAGGCUGGAUUCAGGCUAGACUUUGGGAUGUCCUGAUGCCAAGGGCCCGGGACGCCAUCCUGCCUGCCAAGGAAAGUGCCUGCCUUAAUGACCGGAAUGCGGAGCCGGAGCCGCCUGGAGGAAGGGGGUCGGGUGAAAUGACCCCCGUGGCUCCUGGGUAAAAAGGAUCAGAAUGUACCUGCGCCUGAGGCAAAGCUGCCUCCAGGAAAAUGGGGUCUAAUUACAGAGAAUAAAGCCUUUACGUAAGA